rnacentral:lncRNA from 1 species
UCUGGAAGUGCUAGCUCGCGUGAAGACUUUCUAGAUGGUUGAUCUUACUCCUUAUACAGAUCUCUCAGACUCCUUCAAGAAUGAGAAGGAAGGAUAAGGAGGAUCUAAUGAUAGAAAGAAGAAGGAGAGCUCUCUUCUCUCUUUCAUUUUUCUUCACCCAAAAUCCUAAAUCUGAUUUAAGAUGCUCAUCCAAGAGGAGAAGGAUCUCCUUUAAUCUCUCGUGCCUAAGAAAAGCCUCCCACCCUGAUAUCUCAUGCCCUAAGGAACCCUUAACUCAUGGUGAAUUUCUCAUGAAUUUUGUCGCACAAAAUUUUGGUCCUUUUAUGGUUGGCAUCAAGGGAC